rnacentral:rRNA from 1 species
UACGUAGGGCGCAAGCGUUGUCCGGAAUUAUUGGGCGUAAAGAGCUCGUAGGCGGUUUGUCGCGUCGGCUGUGAAAACCCGAGGCUCAACCUCGGGCCUGCAGUCGAUACGGGCAGACUAGAGUGUGGUAGGGGAGACUGGAAUUCCUGGUGUAGCGGUGAAAUGCGCAGAUAUCAGGAGGAACACCGGUGGCGAAGGCGGGUCUCUGGGCCGAUACUGACGCUGAGGAGCGAAAGCGUGGGGAGCGAA